GACGAGCGCUGGCGGCGUGCCUAAUACAUGCAAGUCGAGCGGACGAUUCGAAAGCUUGCUUUUGAAUCGUUAGCGGCGGACGGGUGAGUAACACGUGGGCAACCUGCCCUGUAGACGGGGAUAACACCGAGAAAUCGGUGCUAAUACCGGAUAACACGAAAUGUCGCAUGACGUUUCGUUGAAAGGCGGCGCAAGCUGCCGCUACAGGAUGGGCCCGCGGCGCAUUAGCUAGUUGGUGAGGUAACGGCUCACCAAGGCGACGAUGCGUAGCCGACCUGAGAGGGUGAUCGGCCACACUGGGACUGAGACACGGCCCAGACUCCUACGGGAGGCAGCAGUAGGGAAUCUUCCGCAAUGGACGAAAGUCUGACGGAGCAACGCCGCGUGAGCGAAGAAGGCCUUCGGGUCGUAAAGCUCUGUUGUUAGGGAAGAACAAGUAACGUAGUAACUGACGUUACUAUGACGGUACCUAACGAGAAAGCCACGGCUAACUACGUG
rnacentral:rRNA from 1 species